rnacentral:lncRNA from 1 species
GCAUAAACGUAUCUACUGAUGGCUGAAUUCGUUUGUCGCUUGCUCAGAGAGUAGCGGUCUGUAUAAUUUAUAUAUAUUUAUAUAAAAUUUAAUAAUUUUCUAUAAAAUAAAAAACAAACAGCAAAGAACGAACCCCUCGAAAACCUGGAGAGGGAACUGCAGUGGAACCAGUGAACGUUGACAGCGACUACCGUCGACCAAACAAGCAUCUUCAACUCGAGAUCUUCGGGCGGGGGCUACGCCACAUUCUCGAUGGAUGACUGGCUGAAUCGCACAGUUUACUAGAUCUAACAAAUGUCUAAAUGCCUUAUAGUUGGUAAGCUGAAGGCUGAUAUACAAACUUCCAGUCCAAUAUGUUGAUUGUUGUGACAUACGUCAGAUAUAUAAUAUAGUCUCUUAAUAUGUGUAAAUACGUAUAUAAAGCCUAAAAUGUAUAUCAAAUAUAUUUAAAAGAUAUUACACCGAGAUUCGUUUCUAACUAUUGCAUCGAGGAAAUCAGAAUCUGAAGGUGGAUUUAGAACGAGCAAAGAGCUAAUCCAUGUUCUUCCCAAUUUUUCUUCUAAUUGUAUAAAGUCUUCUAAUAGUAUUAUUUUGUUGUCCAACUGCGUUCGCAAAUAAUUUUUUACCUAGUUCUAUGUUCCUGCUCGUAUUCUAUGCACUUUGUUACGUUCAAUUCCAUCUUUACACGUAAGCUUUAAGUGGAAUCAACGAUCUUGUUAAUAUAUUGUGUUUAUAACGUUAUUGUAAACAUAUUGUAAAAUUAAGAGACCCCAUACAAUGCAACAAUUAUAAAGAAUUUUGAAUUAAUCUUUGUAAGUCACAAAAAUUUAAUUUUUACAAAUUUCUUACGGGUAUGUUAAUUUAUAAAUUUAACAAAUUUUCAAUUACUAAAAAGUAUUUUUCUAAAUUAACAUUAUUGCAUCAUGUAAUAUUUUUAAUGAUUAAUUAUAAGAAAUAUUAUAUACACAUUGUAUAUAAUAACUGAUGAAACCUACCCAGGUUACAGAAUGCCAACAGUAUUUUUUUUUAUCCACCGACACGGUCCAUUCCAAGAAGGCCUUUGGGCCAAAAUGAACAACUGGGCCAAAGUGACCAACGGAGGUCAAAUCGGUCAGUUGGCCUAAAGGUCACCCCACCCAUGUUAAUUUAGUCACUGUGCGAUUCUAGCUGUAAUUUUUACGUGCUUUCUUAUUUCUCUUGAAAUAUCUCACUCGUAUUUUUGUAUUUAUAAUUAAAAAUAUAUAAAGAUUAUCUAUGUACCUUAUCAUUGAAAAUCUCGCAUUUUUAUGUGCAUUCACAAUUUAUUUUUAUUUGCAAUUUAUUUAUCGAAGUGACAAAUGUUGUAUAACUUAUGUUUUUUUUUUAAUAAAGUAUGUUUUCAUGUAUUUGUAAAA